GACGAACGCUGGCGGCGUGCUUAACACAUGCAAGUCGAACGGAAAGGCCCUGCUUUUGUGGGGUGCUCGAGUGGCGAACGGGUGAGUAACACGUGAGUAACCUGCCCUUGACUUUGGGAUAACUUCAGGAAACUGGGGCUAAUACCGGAUAGGAGCUCCUGCUGCGUGGUGGGGGUUGGAAAGUUUCGGCGGUUGGGGAUGGACUCGCGGCUUAUCAGCUUGUUGGUGGGGUAGUGGCUUACCAAGGCUUUGACGGGUAGCCGGCCUGAGAGGGUGACCGGCCACAUUGGGACUGAGAUACGGCCCAGACUCCUACGGGAGGCAGCAGUGGGGAAUAUUGCACAAUGGGCGGAAGCCUGAUGAAGCAACGCCGCGUGCGGGAUGACGGCCUUCGGGUUGUAAACCGCUUUCGCCUGUGACGAAGCGUGAGUGACGGUAAUGGGUAAAGAAGCACCGGCUAACUACGUG
rnacentral:rRNA from 1 species